rnacentral:rRNA from 1 species
AUGAACGCUAGCGGGAGGCCUAACACAUGCAAGCCGAGCGGUAUAAUUCUUUCGGGCAUUAGAGAGCGGCGCACGGGUGCGGAACACGUGUGCAACCUGCCUUUAUCUGGGGGAUAGCCUUCCGAAAGGGAGAUUAAUACCCCAUAAUAUAUUGACUGGCAUCAGUUAAUAUUGAAAACUCCGGUGGAUAGAGAUGGGCACGCGCAAGAUUAGAUAGUUGGUGAGGUAACGGCUCACCAAGUCAGUGAUCUUUAGGGGGCCUGAGAGGGUGAUCCCCCACUCUGGUACUGAGACACGGACCAGACUCCUACGGGAGGCAGCAGUGAGGAAUAUUGGACAAUGGGUGAGAGCCUGAUCCAGCCAUCCCGCGUGAAGGACGACGGCCCUAUGGGUUGUAAACUUCUUUUGUACAGGGAUAAACCUAGAUACGUGUAUCUAGCUGAAGGUACUGUACGAAUAAGCACCGGCUAACUCCGUGCCAGCAGCCGCAGUAAGAC